AACACAUGCCACCUAAAUGUCACGGCCCACAUAAUAGAAAAGAAAUGCAGAUUUUUAACUCUCAGUGCUUUCCACUCUACACAUAAACUUUUGACUUUUCAAUUGGAGAAGACAAGCAACUCUCGGUGUGUGCUUAUUGGAGGGUGCCCCUCAUGGUUUUGCUAAGUUAACAUUCAUUGAAGAGCUUGCUAUAAUUGUUACAAAGCUAAAAGCUCACGGCCUUCACACAACCAAAGUAACACCCAAGCACACAGCUGGAAGCAAAUACUUCAUCACUUCUCAGUUGAAACUGCAAAAUGAAGAAUGGAAUUGGUAUCAUGUGGAGUGUUCACGGUUUUCUCAGACAUGGAUUGGAAAGUAAUAGCAUGGCCCCAUGACAACCCAAGUUGGCACACACCAAAACAUCACAUAUGUUUGAAUCAAAAGGGCCACCACUCUCGGUAUUAUUCUCCACUCAAGGUUUUGUGUUGGCAUUUAGUUGAUUCCUGGGGAGCAAUUCACGUACAAAGGGAGGAACUCUAUGCUGCAAGAUUCUGAUAUCUCUGCUUUGUCCACUACACACAAGCUUUUAUCCUUCCAUUGGUAAAACAAUUCACUGACCCAAGUAAAUCCCAGCUGGAAGAAGUAGUACAAAUGAGGAUACAACCCUUUCAUUGUAUAACUCACGGUGCAGCAAAGAUAAAAAACACAUGGCCCAUGGACAACUAAGCAUUCAUCAAAAAUGUACGUUGGGAUAAAAAGAGGGAGCAGCUACUGAAGGGAAUAUUAUCCUCAAUGAAAAAGCUUACACACGGAUAUGGAGAAGGGGCCACUACUAGACGGAAGAGAUGGCUCAUGGCUUGCUGUUUUUCCCUUUUAAAAAAUGAAGAGACACACAAGAGGAGGGUGGUUACUCUCAGUCUAGACACUACACUCUUGGCUGGAGUUCUCUGCAGAAAAAGAAAAUGGGUGAAGGGCAAUGAGAGGAGGAUGCGUUUAGCUGGCACAGAGAGGAGCUUUUGGUUGAGCUUUCAUUGAGCACGGUGUCCAGUAAGCAAGGAAUGGAGCUUAGCUUGAAUAGGUUUUUCAUCGAUCUACGGUGAAGAAUUAAGAUCUGAACUUUGUGUGCAAUGGAUUCAAGCGUUGACAUUGGAUCUUCGAACAAGUUGUUCGUUCGUCAUUCAAUGAAAAACAAGUUUGUUGGUACAUUGAAAAGCAAGUUUGUUGGUAAAGUCAAUCAUUUCAAUUAUGCCAUUCAGAUUGUUUUUAGAACUUAUGAAAAGUGUUAAAAUGAGUAGGAAUGUUUUGAGCGAAUUAUUGAUUAGAUGGGUUGAUGAGCGUGGUUGUUUUUGUUUCGGAGAAAGACUUGUGGAAUUCAAGUCCAAUUAUGUAUGUUUGAGUCUAGGGUUGAGUUUAGUUGGUGAGAAUAUUAAAUUAAAGGAAAAGCAACUUUGAGAGAGUGAUUGUGGCAAGUACUUUGGUGAUGGAAAGCAACAAUUGCAAAUCAUAUAUGAUUUCCUUAAGAGAAAACACAAGAAGUUGCCUUCAACACAUUUUUGUAGCUUGUACAUUUUGGUUGGAAUUUGUGAAGUCUUGUUUCCUAAUCGUAGCAAAACUGUCUUUCCAAUUAUGUUUGAAAUUGUUGAUAGAAUAAGUGAUUUGGGAAAUUAUUGUUGGGGUCGUAUAGUGUAUCAUUACCUAUUUAGGAGUUUAUGCAAAGCUUCUACAGCGUGGAAUAAAGGAGAAGGUGCGAGCAAUGUUUAUGUGGAUGGUUGUGUUUUCGUGUUGCAGGUUUGGUUUUGUGAUCGUUUCAUACCUUCAAGUGUUCGUGUAGAGAAGUACCCUAGACUUUUGCAUUAGAUCAAUAUAAAUGUGGGAGACAAGUUCAUCAAACGUGCUAUGGAGAGGGGUGUGGUAUGUACUUCGUUUUCCAUAUUAUAAAAGUUUGAAUGAAUGAGUUUUUACAAUGCUAUUUUGGGUUAAAUUUAAGAUGCUUGAUGAUUAUGGUGCAUCAAGCAAAGAAAGCAAUGAGUCCAUUUUGAAAGCCUCCCUGAUUACAAUGGGAGAGGAUUUGAAGGAUGAAGAUAAGGAAGGCAAAAGCAAACACAGAGAAACAAUUAUGACUGCUUUAGAUGAUCAAGAUACUUUAUUUGAAGAACUUGAGAAAGAGUUAAUUGAAUUGGAGGCUGAGUUGGUGGAAGAGAAGAAUAAAGAUGAUGGUUCUAACAGACAUGAUGGUGGUUACUUCACGCCUUGUGCAGCAUAUGACUUUGACAAUGACUAUGCAACGGAGGGAGGAGUCUCAAACUUUGAGAAGCAUGAAAGUGUUAUGAAGGACAAAGGACGUCGUAAGCGUUACAAAAGUAGACUUUGUAGAACUCCAUACACUAGAUAUAGUCCGAAACUGAAUUGAUUUGUGUAAUUAGUUAGCAGUGUUAUAUUGUUAUAUGUUAUAAUGUAUGGAUCCUUUUUAAG